UACGGGGGGGGCAAGCGUUGUUCGGAAUUACUGGGCGUAAAGGGCUCGUAGGCGGCCAACUAAGUCGGAUGUGAAAUCCCCAGGCUUAACCUGGGAACUGCGUCUGAUACUGGGAGGCUUGAGUAUGGGAGAGGGAUGUAGAAUUCCAGGUGUAGCGGUGAAAUGCGUAGAUAUCUGGAGGAAUACCGGUGGCGAAGGCGGCAUCCUGGACCAUAACUGACGCUGAGGCGCGAAAGCUAGGGGAGCAAACGGG
rnacentral:rRNA from 1 species